AAGCGCCAAGCGCAUUGAACGCACACUCUCUCAAAGCCGCCAUGGCUGAAAACAUGAAGCAGCAGCAACAGGAACCAGACAUUUGCAGCAGAACCACCUUACCUGGUUCCAAAAGACUCCUCCUCACUCUCUAUGUAUUCUUCUCUUUCAUCAUAGGGGCACCGUUCUUUCUAAAAUCCAGGGCCAUUUACAGAGCUCCUCUCCCGUUCAAAUCAAUUGAGUCUCUUGACAACCACCUUUCAAUGAACCCAUUGCUUUUCCCUUGCCAUUUCCACACCGUCUUCCUCGGAUUUGGUCAAGAAAAUCAGAAUAUGGGUUUUGCACAGGAGCUGGAGUUUUUAAUGUUCCAAAAGAUGCAACAUAUAUCCGGUUCAGAUCGGGUUUGUGGUGGUUGUGGUGAUAAUUAUUCAGUUUCAGUCACAGUUGAUUAUAUUUCAGGAUGUUUUCAAAGUGGGGCACUGGAAAAUGAGGUUUCUUGGCCCUGUGGAUCUCUCGAUUUAUCAGAGUUGGAGCAAAUUCUCGCCAGUGAUGCUGCUUUUGAUGAAUAUAUCGAGUCAUUUUUGCAGAGGAAUGGUGGUCUUUUGAAAUAUAGAGGUAAUGCUUAUAGGGUCGUGGUGGUUAAUAGGGAAAUGGAGAAUUCUUACAGGACUGUUAUAGGUAAGCAUAGGCAUGCAUGGAUUUACGGGAAAAUUUCAGAGGGAGAUGCUGUUUCUUUGGCGGCACAGUUAUUUGUGAAUUUCUUUAUGAAUGGUGGUAUUGGAGAGGGGUUGUUUAGUAAAGGGAAAGGUGAGUUCAUGCCUAUUGCAGCUGAUGGGUCUGUUGUUUUAAGCUUCAGUCUUCUCAAUGCGAAUCCAAAUGAUUGGGUUUUUGACUGGGAUUUUAGAAAGAUAGAUGAGAUCUUUUUGUCCCCUGUGGUGAAGGCAUUGGCACCUCUAGCAAAUAUCAGUGUUGAAAGCCAGAUUUUGUACCACACUCCAAAGGCAUCAUAUUCUUAUUGGGAUGAAAAUUUGGCUAGCUACAUCUUCAGUACCAAUGACCUUCCAUUCUUUGUAAAUUCAAAUGAAUGGUAUUUGGAUACAUCUGUCGGGGCAGCUGGACAGUCAAAGAUUCUGCAUUUUGUGGUGUAUGUACCAUCUGCAGAUGAGUGCCCCUUAGUGUUACAACUUCCAGAUGGAACCAUUUCCUCAACUAAUGGAUUUAUGUCACCUACGUGGGGCGGAAUCAUUGUUUGGAACCCCACCAGCUGUUCAACAGAUUCCAGAAGUGCAAGACUUUCAAGGCACACAUUUUCUUCUCAGGAUCUUGUGCAGGUCAUGGAAGUUUUCAUGGGGCAGCUACGGUUGUUAUUCGGUCUUAAAUCAUAUACUUCAUAUGAUGUGGAUAUACAAAACAUAGUAGCCAGCGAAAAGGGCUUUGCGGAAUGGGAGUUGGAUGUAUUAGUUCGGCAUCAUGCAGCUUACAAUCUUUUUUCUUCCGCUACAACCCUUCAAUCUCUUUCGAAACUGGUUCAGUCGCUCCCAAGCAUGAUUGUCAUGGAUGAGAUCGGAAAGCAGGUUAAGCUAUCUCUUGAGGCGGCAAACCUAGCCGAGAACAAUGCCUCCCUUGGGAUGUAUGAUGCUGCUGAAGUAUCUUCCCGGGAAGCGAGAGUGUGGGCAGAAGCUGCUUUUUUUCAUCCAUCCAUCAUGUCGAUCCUGUACUUUCCAUUUGAGCACCACGUUGCCAUAUAUUCUCCCUUCUUUGUUCCAGUUGCAAUGCAUGUGUUUAUUGCAGCUUUCAAGGAAACUAUGAGGUACCGGCGAGAAAGGGAAAAAUAUUGGGCAUGGAAAAAUCAAGCACCAGCUCUUUGAUCAUAAAAUGGUUAUUAGGGAUUUGACCCCUAUCUUUGGCGAGAAUGGAGUCCAUGAUCUCAUUCAUGAACCCGUGUGCAGGAAGCAAAGAAGGAAGGGAAGAUGAUGGAGUUUGUAAGAGAUGAAGGAGAUGUAUCUUACAAUUCAUUCCUCACACAUUUUGGGCAACAAAUGGUCAUAUUCCGGAGUUUAGUAGUGUGAGAAGGCCAAAGUACCGAUUGGAUGAUUUUUGUAAUGAGAGAAGUCUAUUAAUUUUUGGAUGAUUUUUGUAGUGAGAGAAGUCUAUUAAUUUUUGUUCUUGUUUAAAGGUGUUACGCAGAUUAGAAGACAUGAGUAUUUUUAGAUUGCGGUUUUGUACGGGUCUUAUAACUGUGCUAUUAAUCGACAUAGAAUCUCAUUUGUAAUAUGGAUGUAUCUUAAGAGUGUACUCGCCCACGAUCGGUUUGUACCUUAGAAGUUUACCAAGAUUGUGGCGUUUAAUUAGAAGAAAGUGAGCUUCCUUGUGCCUCCAAA